CCCUGGUGUUCUGAUUGAAGGUGAGAAUGG
rnacentral:piRNA from 1 species